GACGAACGCUGGCGGCGUGCUUAACACAUGCAAGUCGAACGGAAAGGCCCUGCUUUUGUGGUAUGCUCGAGUGGCGAACGGGUGUGAAACACGUGAGUAACCUGCUCUUGACUUUGGGAUAACUUCAGGAAACUGGGGCUAAUACCGGAUAGGAGCUCCUGCUGCAUGGUGGGGGUUGGAAAGUUUCGGCGGUUGGGGAUGGACUCCCGGCUUAUCAGCUUGUUGGUGGGGUAGUGGCUUACCAAGGCUUUGACGGGCAGCCGGCCUGCGAGGGUGACCGGCCACAUUGGGAUGGGUAUACGGCCCGGCCUCCUACGGGGGGCGGCAGUGGGGAAUAUGGCAAAAUGGGCGAAAGCCUGAUGCAGCAACGCCGCGUGCGGGAUGACGGCCUUCGGGUUGUAAACCGCUUUCGCCUGUGACGAGGCGUGAGUGACGGUAAUGGGUAAAGAAGCACCGGCUAACUACGUG
rnacentral:rRNA from 1 species